rnacentral:tRNA from 1 species
GCCGGUGUAGCUCAGUGGUAGAGCUUUCGCUUCGUAAGUGAAGGGCCGCCAGUUCAAUCCUGGCCACCGGCU